UGUCAGAAGAGGAGGAAAGAGCUCCGGCGCACAGGGCUCCCAGGCCCCUCCAGGACGAGGCUGGAGGACCCAGCGCAGCAGCAGGAACAGAGGUACAGAGAAUGGUGUCCAGGCCUCCUUAAGGACUCUCAAUCCAUGAGACAGGAAGCCCCACAGGGAAGCAGUGGCCCCCCGCCCCCUGUCUCCUCACAUACAGCACUCUGUACCUUCUGCUCAUUUUUCUGUAAACCUAAAACUGCUCUAAACAAUGAAGUCCGCCACGCAGAAACUGCACACGGACGUUGAGAGCAGCUUUACUCAUAACUGCCAACACUCAGAAGCAACCGAGAUGUUCUCCAACAGCUGAAUAAAUAAAUAAACUGCGAUACACCUAAAUAA
rnacentral:antisense_RNA from 1 species